GACGAACGCUGGCGGCGUGCUUAACACAUGCAAGUCGAACGGAAAGGCCCUGCUUUUGUGGGGUGCUCGAGUGGCGAACGGGUGAGUAACACGUGAGUAACCUGCCCUUGACUUUGGGAUAACUUCAGGAAACUGGGGCUAAUACCGGAUAGGAGCUCCUGCUGCAUGGUGGGGGUUGGAAAGUUUCGGCGGUUGGGGAUGGACUCGCGGCUUAUCAGCUUGUUGGUGGGGUAGUGGCUUACCAAGGCUUUGACGGGUAGCCGGCCUGAGAGGGUGACCGGCCACAUUAGGACUGAGAUACGGCGCAGAAUCCUACGGGAGGCAGCAGUGGGGAAUAUUGCACAAUGGGCGGAAGCCUGAUGCAGCAACGCCGCGUGCGGGAUGACGGCCUUCGGGUUGUAAACCGCUUUCGCCUGUGACGAAGCGUGAGUGACGGUAAUGGGUAAAGAAGCACCGGCUAACUACGUG
rnacentral:rRNA from 1 species